GGAAGCUGAUUGUUUUGUGUGUAUGUUUCCGACACACAACUCAUUGAAUAACCAUGGCUGGACAUGAUCAAUGUGGAUUGGAGGCAUCGAAAGGUAACUUCCUGGGGCUUUCUAGAAAUUGACAAGCAACAUACCUGGAAUCCAGCAGCACACUCUGACAAGAUGAGGGCGAUUGCCAACGUUGAGGACAUUGCAUUCCAUUCAAACAUACCUGUGGCGGCGGACAUAACAGUAGCCAUAGUGUAUGCUGUGUUUGGUAAGUGAGCUCUCUCUUCAAAAAAGGGUUCACUUACACCCCCCCCCCCCCCCACAUGUGAAUGUAGGCAGAGAGGAGAGGAUGAAGCAUGUUGCUGACCUGUAACAUGAUGAUCAACUCUCUGUCAGUUCUCAGCAUGACGCCAGACUACACACUGGGACUUAACCUGGGAGUGUGUG
rnacentral:lncRNA from 1 species